AGUAUUUCUGCCGUGAACAUGGCCGUCGAGGAGGACUCAUGAAGACUCUAAAUCUCUCUCGGGUAAACCUGGCGUUGGCAGUACUCCUGGAUGUUUUGCUGUCGUUGGGAGUUCUCUGGAUGGGGACGCCUCGGGUGGCUGGCACGUGUGCUGAGUCAGUGCUAAGCCCCGUGCGUGAUCAACCCUGGGGCCACAGUGACCCUGUUCACCCAAUGUUACAGCUGGGUGAGAAACUGAGGCCCAGAGAGGUUAAGUAACUCUCCCAGGUCACACAGCCGGGCAGUGGCCUAGUGGGCUCUGAACCCCAGAACCCCCGCACCUUUCCGGAGGAAGGCCCCGCGACGGUGGUCCAGCAGGCUGGGAGGCAGCAGCGUGUAGUUGGACAUGGUGUUGGCCUUCAUGGCGCUGAAGGUUGAGUGUGCCACGACGGAGCCCAGUGCCUCCUUGCCCAGCGGACGGCCCAGGAACCCACAGAUGCGCUCCACGGAGCCCUGUGAGGGGGAUGGAAGACGUCAGACUCACCUAACAGAUGCAGGAAGGGGGCCCAGAGAGGUAAUGUGGCUUCCCCCAGGGCACACAGCACUGCCCGCCUUCACUCUGAUGACUGUCAACCCCAUGAAAGAAGGGCUUGUUCUAUGUCAAAUCUGCGGUUAUUUCCCAAGGGAAGAGCCUGGAAUAUAGUAAAUGCUCAAUAAGUGCCUGUUGAUGGAAUGAAUGAAUUGUCACAGGAAGACGUGAUGGAAUGAGUGAAGGUCAUGGUGGUGCCAGGAGAAGUCCACUGAAUCUCUGUGGAGAAUGAGGAGGGAGCUGAGGAGAUGCAAAAGCCUGAUUCUGGAAGGCGAGGGGUCCAGACUCCUACAGAGGUGGCAAGGAGGAACCAGAAGACACCAGAGUGACAUUUUAGCCAAUUGUGAGAGUGCAGAGAUACUAGUGGAGACCAUCAACCCCCAGAAAUGAAUCUGAGGGUCUUGGACAUCUGGGAGACAAGGACGAGACCAGAAGGAUGAAGGAGUGGGCUGGGCUUGGUGGCUCAUGCCUGUAAUCCCAGCACUUUGGGAGGCCCAGGCGGGUGGAUCACGAGGUCGGGAGUUCAAGACCAGCCUGGCCAACAUAGUAAAACCCCGUCUCUACUAAAAAUACAAAAAUUAGCCGGGAGUGGUGGUGGGUGCCUAUAAUCCCAGCUCCUCAGGAGGCUGAGGCAGAGAAUUGCUUGAACCCAGGAGGUGGAGAUUGCAGUGAGCCGAGAUUGUGCCACUGUGCUCCAGCCUGGGCAACAGAGCAAGACUCGGUCUCAAUUAAAAAAAAAAAAAAAAAAAGAUGAAGAGUGUGGGAAAAUGCAAGUGGAAAACCCAGAGCCACUUGGUCAUGGGUAGUGAGAGGAGCAAGGAUUAUACAUCCAUUCAUCCCUCCAGCUGUUCAUCCCUCUAUCUAUGCAUCCACCUGUCCCUCUAUUCAUCCAUCAUCCAUCCACCCGACCAUCCACCCAACCAUUCAUUCAGCCACCCAACCACUUAUCCAAUCAUCCAUUCAACAUCCAUCUAUCUACCCAUCCAACCAUCCAUCCCUCCAUCCAUUCAUCAGCCAUCAAACCAUCCACCUCUUCAUCCAUUCAUCAUCUAUCCAUCCAUUCAUCCAUCCAACCAUCUACUCAACCAUCCAUCUAUCCAGCCAUCCAUCACCCAUCCAUCCAUUUUCCAUCCAUUCAUCUAGCCACCCAACCAUCCAACCAUCCAUCUAUCCAUCCAUCCUGCAUUCAUUCAGCCAUUUAUUCAUCCAUCACCCAACCAUUCCUUCAUCUAUCCAUUCAUCCAUCCAUCCUGCCAUCCAUUCAUCACUGUCUAUCCAUUCAUCCAUCCAAGCAUCUACUCAACCAUCCUUCUAUCCAUCCAUCCAUCCUCUAUUCAUCCACUCAGCCAGGUAUCCAUUCAACCAGCCAUCUAUGCAUCCAUCUUUCUAUGCAUCCUCCAUCCAUUCAUCCAUCCAUCCAACCAUCUACCCAUCCAUUCGACCAUCCGUCCAUCCAUCCAUCCAUCCAUCCAUCCAUCCAUGCAUCCACUCAUCCAUUCAUCCAGGCAUCCAAUAGUCUAUUUUUCCAACUAAUAUCUGUAGAGACCUCCUCUGGGUCAGUCUCUGAUAUUGUGUCCACAAACAAGACAUGUAAGUAAAUGGCUUACAUCUGUGCUGUCCAUCCCAGAAGCCACUGGCCAUAGGUGGCUAUUUAGCACCUAUGUGCAAUGUGACUGAGAAAGUGAAAAUUUUCCAUUUUAUUUCAUUUUAAUUAAUUUAAAUAAAUUUAAUUUAAAAAAAUUAAAAUUAAUUUAAAUUAAUUAAAAUGAAUUAAUUUUAUUUCAUUUUAAAAAUUUUUAAAAAAUAAAAAAUUAUUUCAUUUUAAUUAAUUUAAAUGAAAUUAAAUUUUCAUUUAAUUAAUUCCAUUUUAAUGUACCUUUUCGAAAUUGAGCAUCAAAAUUGAGAUACAAAGCAUAUAAAACAUCUCAUGGGUAAUUUCUAUAUUGAUUACAUGCUGAAGUGGUGAUAUUUUAGAUACAUCAAAUUGAAUAAAAUCUAUUCCUACAAUUAAUUAUUUUCUUUUCUUUUUUCCUUCUAGUCU
ensembl:lncRNA novel transcript, antisense to SULT2B1